rnacentral:rRNA from 1 species
AGAGUUUGAUCCAGGCUCAGAUUGAACGCUGGCGGAAUGCUUUACACAUGCAAGUCGAACGGCAGCACGGGGGCAACCCUGGUGGCGAGUGGCGAACGGGUGAGUAAUACAUCGGAACGUGCCCAGUCGUGGGGGAUAACUACGCGAAAGCGUAGCUAAUACCGCAUACGAUCUACGGAUGAAAGCGGGGGAUCGCAAGACCUCGCGCGAUUGGAGCGGCCGAUGGCAGAUUAGGUAGUUGGUGAGGUAAAGGCUCACCAAGCCUGCGAUCUGUAGCUGGUCUGAGAGGACGACCAGCCACACUGGGACUGAGACACGGCCCAUACUCCUACGGGAGGCAGCAGUGGGGAAUUUUGGACAAUGGGCGCAAGCCUGAUCCAGCCAUUCCGCGUGCAAGAU